rnacentral:rRNA from 1 species
AUUGAACGCUAGCGGGAUGCUUUACACAUGCAAGUCGAACGGCAGCGCGGACUUCGGUCUGGCGGCGAGUGGCGAACGGGUGAGUAAUGUAUCGGAACGUGCCCAGUAGCGGGGGAUAACUACGCGAAAGCGUAGCUAAUACCGCAUACGCCCUACGGGGGAAAGCAGGGGAUCGUAAGACCUUGCACUAUUGGAGCGGCCGAUAUCGGAUUAGCUAGUUGGUGAGGUAACGGCUCACCAAGGCGACGAUCCGUAGCUGGUUUGAGAGGACGACCAGCCACACUGGAACUGAGACACGGCCCAGACUCCUACGGGAGGCAGCAGUGGGGAAUUUUGGACAAUGGGGGCAACCCUGAUCCAGCCAUCCCGCGUGGGCGAUGAAGGCCUUCGGGUUGUAAAGCACUUUUGGCAGGAAAGAAACGUCGCGGGCUAAUACCCCGUGGAACUGACGGUACCUGCAGAAUAAGCACCGGCUAACUACGUG